AAAAUGGUAGGUUCGAGAUAAUAUGCAACGCAGAGGGAGUUCUAUGGGUAGAAGCUGAAACUACUUGUGCUGUGGAUGACUUGGGAAAUUUUGCUCCUAGCUUAAAACUCCGGCAACUAGUUCCAACAGUUGAUUACUCGAAAGAUACCUUCUCUCACCCGCUGUUUAUGGCCCAGGUAAGUAUUCACCAAACAAGAAUGAGAAACUGACACACUGUAAGUAUUUAAUUACAAGAUUUUUUUCUUUGAAAAUUAAGUGUUUAAUUACUAGAUAAAUAAUGUCAGUAAACUGAAAAAAGAUGAUGGUAGCAGUAGGAUAAUAUGAACUGCUCUGAGGAAAGAAAAAAAACAGAGAAAAAAGGAGGAGGGAAGUUGCUGUGAAGAAGAACAAGUUACUUCAUUCAUGCUUUAACUCUAACAAAUAAGAGUUACAAGGAGAUCAUGGACAAGCCUUGAUUUAGUAUAUUUGUUUUAUGUUUAUGUCUUGUUUGGUUUUAUUUUAGUUUGCAGAACUCAUAGAAUCACCUCAUGAUUAAAAUCUUGCUUCAAGAUGUACUCCGAUUGAACAAUUCAUAACUACUAAUCCUUCAAGUUCAAAAGUAGGAUAGGCAAAAAAAAUUACAGAAUAAGAUACAUGAAGGAUAGGCAAUGGAAACUGGAAAGCUUGAUUGUAUGUUUUUGCUAGGUAACUGCUUUCAAAUGCGGUGCAGUCUCUCUUGGAAUCGGAAUUCACCACACUUUGGUGGAUGGCACAGCUUUCCUUCACUUCUUCAACAGUUGGUCCGAGAUAGCAAGAGGCUUGCCCCUAAUCAGGGUGGCGCCACUUAUUGACAGAACCCUUCUCCGAGCACGAGUGCCACCAACCCCUAGAUUUCAUCAUGCUGAAUAUGAUCCACCUCCUCCCUUAAACACCUCAAUGUCAAUCUUCAAUUCUCACCCUAAGCCUAAACCCUCAUCUGUAUCUGUUUUUAAGAUCACACUCAAUCAACUUAAUACCCUAAAAGCCAUGUCAUUCAAGAAUGAAAAUUCAACUAAGUACAGCACCUACACUAUCCUAGCUGCACAUAUAUGGCGUUGUGCCUGUAAAGCUCGAGGCCUCUUGGAUGAUCAACCAACCAAGUUAUACGUGCCAACAAAUGGACGCCCCAGACUACAUCCUCCCCUCCCAUCAGCCUACCUGGGCAAUGUGACAUUUAUGGCUUCAUCAAUUUCUGUGUCUGGAAAUCUCCAAUCAGAACCAUUUAUGAACACCAUAGAGCGAAUUCAUGGAACAUUGAAAAGGGUGGACAAUGAAUAUCUAAGAUCAGCUCUUGACUACCUAGAAAAACUGCCAGAUGUAACUACUGCCAGGAGAGAAGCACACACUGCCCAGUGCCCAAAUCUAAGUAUCAUCAAUUGGAUGCGACUCCCUGUACAUGAUGCAAAUUUUGGGUGGGGUCGGCCCAUAUACAUGGGCCCGGCAAAUGUCGUCCAUGAAGGAAAAAUAUACCUACUGCCAAGUCCAACUGAUGAUGGGAGCCUGUCAUUGGUAGCAUGCCUAGAAACCUCUCAUAUGAAACCUUUUCAGAAGCAUCUUUACGAAGGCUUAAUGUCAUUUGACAAAAUAAGGGCUCGAUAUUAGUUGUUUGUUCUCUCUAUCAGUAUGCAACAUAUAAAGAUGUUUCUUUUUUUUUUUCGUGAACUAACUUUUUUUGUUUGAAUCCUAUUUAUUCGAAUUCGGUGCAUAGGGCAUAGGCUAUUAUAAGAACCGACUCUAGCUAUGUCAACAAAUAAGAAGAGUAGAAGAUUAAACUAAACCUAGAAUGAAGAUAGAGAUUAUAUUCUGGAUAAUCAUCAAGAAAGAGGCGAGUAGCUAAGCCUUAAUACGAAACUUCUAUCUUACCUGUGAAAUCAAAUUGCUGGAACAAGAAGAACAGUGGAUAUGAGUCUUGCAUUCUUGCUCUAGUCAUUUCGUAUCUACUUGAGCCUAAUUUUCUCACAUAGCAGCAGCAACUUUGGUCAUCUUAAGAUUGAUUGUAACUGCAUUUUAGACACUAUGAGUAAGUUUUGAGAACACUGUGAAAACUCAAUGCUCUGAAGGGAAAUUUGGAGAAUUUCCAAGAACAAGGAACUAAAACUCAGAGGUUUACCUGUCUAGCACGUGAUAUGGAGAAGAAGCAUAUUGACAACUUCCAUUUUCCAGGCUCUGCAAAGUUCCCACCCGACUCUUGCAUCUAUGGAAGUCCAAGGAAAACAAAAACUCCAAACAUGCCCUUAAGACAUCCAAAGAUAACUCUAUCAUGCGACUCAAGUCCAAGGAAAAACAGUCCCACAUUUCUAAUGGCAGCUUAUGACACAUACAAAAUACCCCACUAUCUAACACUCUCAACUGAUAAAUUAGAACAACAAAAAUGUUCAGACAGAAAUUGAUUAUGAGGUACUAAUCUCUGCCAUAUCCUCGUUGGUGGUACGCUUGGAGACAUCCCAUAUGAAACAGUUUGAGAAGUGUCUUUCUGAUUUCUUACUGCCAUUUGCAAAAAUAAAUGCUCGUUGUUAAUUUGUUUUCCCUAGUAUUAUGUAACUUUGAGAAGCUCCUUUAUAUGAUUUCUGUAUUAGUAUUAGCUUUAAUCAAAAAUAGCAGACUCCAACACUGCUACACACACAAGAUAUCUGCACUCAGAAUGUCUUUUUGAUUCUUUUUUGUUCAAAACAUAUACACUUACUAAGCAUAAACAGUGGAGUUUUUUACUGUUCCGUACAUUUUCGCUAGGUCACUACUUUUAACUGUUGAGGAAUCUGUACUGGAGUUAGAGUUCUUGAUGUUCUGUCAGAUGGGACAUCCACAUUUUACUUCAUCGACAGCUGGUGUGGAACAGUUUCCAGAAGCUUUUUUAUGAAGAGUUGAUGUCAAUUGACAAAAUAAAGGCUCGUUAUUAGUUGUUGUUCUCUCUAUCAACCUGGAACAUAAUUAAAUCUGUUUCUUUUGCUUCAAUCCUAGUUAAAGAAAUACACAAGUAGAAGCUCUGAUGUUAGUAAGGAAAACACAGGGAGAUAGCCCUAUACUCCUGUUUCUUUGUUCCUAUCUUGAGGAGGACAAGCAUUUGGGACAAUCAUCAGGGACGAUUCCAACCAAUUUUCCAUUAGAUCAUUAUAGGACAGAUUGGGACAAUUCCUCCUCCCUAACAUCAUUUUGCAUGAGAUGUUUUCUAGCUGGAAUAUCAACUUCUUUAAGCUUUGGGCAAAGAUAAGCUGUGUCUGUGUCAUUGAUGCAUCGCUGCUUAUUGAAUUUGACUUGGAAAAUUAAAGAGUCAAUAAUGGCUUCUAUGAUUAAGGUUUAAAAUGACAUGAUCAUGCCAUGCAUACAACCACCUACCUACUACAAAAGCAAGACGACAUACCAUUAAUCUAAUUAAUUUUGUAUUAAAUCCAAAAGCAGCCUGUUUAUGAGAAGAAACGUGGGGCUGAUAUGCUGAACCCAAAUCUAUCUUGCUUAAAAGAAAUCAUGGAGCGAACGAUUCACGAUUCUAAUGCUUUAUUUCCGUAGAGAAAGGACAAUCAUUGUCUAAGAAGAGAUCAUCAAGACAUACAAGUGUUUAAUAUUGUUUGUACCUAUCCAUUUCCCUCUUCUCUCUGCCACCGAUUACCUAUAGCUUUGUUAGUUGUAAAAUAUUCUUUAAUCUGAACCAUACACGUCCUUAUCAGGAGCAGCCGAACACGUUACGGCACAAUUAAGAUUCUGACUAAUUGAGCAGGUGGGACAACGAGAAGAUAAAGCCAAAAACUCAAGAGUAGGCGCACAUGCAUUUUCCUCGCCUCUGCCCACCGACAUUACCAUAUACCAACUAAGAAGAUUUUGAGCGCCUUUGCUUCUGGUAUACAAGGUAUGAGCGCUUACCUUCCCCUAAGAACUAGUUUCUGAAACAAUGGCGACCAUAGGCGGGUAAGAUCGGAAGGCAUAUUGCAGAGGAGAUUUUGGGGUUUCUGUCACCACUGCAGUCACUGAAGAGAUGGAGAUUACCGUAAAGGGAUCAAGCCUAGUACGCCCUGCUAAAGAAACGCCCAAAGAGAGCCACAAGGUCUCAAAUCUGGACAUGGUGAUGGCACCAUAUUAUGCCACCCAGGUGUACUUCUACAAACCAAAUGGUUCUUCAGAUUUCUUUAAAGGGCAAGUGCUUAAGGAGGCUUUAAGCAAGACUCUUGUGCCAUUUUACCCCAUGGCUGGGAGGUUGGGAAGUGAUGAAAAUGGUAGGUCCGAGAUAAUAUGCAACGCAGAGGGAGUUCUAUGGGUAGAAGCUGAAACUACUUGUGCUGUGGAUGACUUGGGAAAUUUUGCUCCUAGCUUAAAACUCCGGCAACUAGUUCCAACAGUUGAUUACUCGAAAGAUACCUUCUCUCACCCGCUGUUUAUUGGCCCAGGUAAGUAUUCACCAAACAAGAAUGAGAAACUGACACACUGUAAGUAUUUAAUUACUAGAUUUUUUUUCUUUGACAAUUAAGUAUUCAAUUACUAGAUAAAUAAUGUCAGUAAACCGAAAAAAGAUGAUGAUAGCAGUAGGAUAAUAUGAACUACUCUGAGGAAAGAAAAAAACAGAGAAAAGAGGGGGAGGGAAGUUGCUGUGAAGAAGAACAAGUUACUUCAUUCAUCAGUAAAUACAUAGUAAGUCAACAUGUCAAAGUCAAUGCAUGCUUUAACUCUAACAAAUAAGAGUUACAAGGAGAUCAUGGACAAGCCUUCAUUUAGUAUAUUUGUUUUAUGUUUAUGUCUGGUUUAGUUUUAUUUUAGUUUGCAGAACUCAUAGAAUCACCUCAUGAUUAAAAUCUUGCUUCAAGAUGUACUCCGAUUGAACAAUUCAUUACUACUAAUCCUUAAAGUUCAAACGUAGGAUAGGCAAAAAAAAUUACAGAAUAAGAUACAUUAAGGAUAGGCAAUGGAAACUGGAAAGCUUGAUUGUAUGUUUUUGCUAGGU
rnacentral:lncRNA from 1 species